rnacentral:rRNA from 1 species
UUGUUGGUAAGGUAAAGGCUUACCAAGGCUUCGAUCAGUAGCUGGUCUGAGAGGACGGCCAGCCACACUGGGACUGAGACACGGCCCAGACUCCUACGGGAGGCAGCAGUGGGGAAUUUUGGGCAAUGGGGGAAACCCUGAUCCAGCCAUGCCGCGUGAGUGAAGAAGGCCUUCGGGUUGUAAAGCUCUUUCAGCCGGAACGAAACGGUUACGGAUAAUACCCGUGACUACUGACGGUACCGGAAGAAGAAGCACCGGCUAACUACGUGCCAGCAGCCGCGGUAAUACGUAGGGUGCGAGCGUUAAUCGGAAUUACUGGGCGUAAAGCGUGCGCAGGUGGUUUUGUAAGUCAGAUGUGAAAGCCCCGGGCUCAACUUGGGAACUGCGUUUGAAACUACAAGACUAGAGUGUGGCAGAGGGGGGUGGAAUUCCGCGUGUAGUAGUGAAAUGCGUAGAGAUGUGGAGGAACACCGAUGGCGAAGGCAGCCCCCUGGGUUAACACUGACACUCAGGCACGAAAGCAUGGGGAGCAAACAGGAUUAGAUACCCUGGUAGUCCAUGCCCUAAACGAUGUCAACUAGUUGUCGGGCCUUUACGGGCUUGGUAACGUAGCUAACGCGUGAAGUUGACCGCCUGGGGAGUACGAUCGCAAGAUUAAAACUCAAAUGAAUUGACGGGGACCCGCACAAGCGGUGGAUUAUGUGGAUUAAUUCGAUGCAACGCGAAAAACCUUACCUACCCUUGACAUGUAUCGAAGCCCGCAGAAAAGCGGGGGUGCCCGAAAGGGAACGAUAACACAGGUGCUGCAUGGCUGUCGUCAGCUUGUGUCGUGAGAUGUUGGGUUAAGUCCCGCAACGAGCGCAACCCUUGUCAUUAAUUGCCAUCAUUUAGUUGGGCACUUUAAUGAGACUGCCGG